rnacentral:rRNA from 1 species
CUGAGAGAUGGCUCCCACGUCCAAGGAUGGCAGCAGGCGCGAAAAUUGUCCACUCUUUUGAGAGGAGACAGUUAUGAAACGUGAGUAGAAGGGUCGAGUGUAAAAACCUUGACGUGAAGCAAUUGGAGGGCAAGUUUUGGUGCCAGCAGCCGCGGUAAUUCCAACUCCAAGAGUGUCUAUGGUGGAUGCUGCAGUUAAAGGGUCCGUAGUCGUAGAUGCAAUUAAAAGGUGGUGUUAAAAGCCAUUGAGUUUGUUGAGAGUAGCGGAACGGAUAGGGAGCAUGGUAUAGGUGGGCAAAGAAUGAAAUCUCAAGACCCCACCUGGACCAACGGAGGCGAAAGCGAUGCUCUUAGACGUAUCUGGGGAUCAAGGACGAAGGCUAGAGUAUCGAAAGUGAUUAGACACCGCUGUAGUUCUAGCAGUAAACUAUGCCGACAAUGCUGGGUGUUGCGAGAGCGAUGCUUGGUGUGGGAGAAAUCUUAGUUUUCGGGCUCUGGGGAUA